rnacentral:rRNA from 1 species
UUGUCUCAAAGAUUAAGCCAUGCAUGUCUCAGUACAAGCCCGAUUAAGGUGAAACCGCGAAAGGCUCAUUAAAUCAGUUAUGGUUCCUUAGAUCGUACCCACACUUACUUGGAUAACUGUGGUAAUUCUAGAGCUAAUACAUGCAAACAGAGCUCCGACCGGAGACGGGAGGAGUGCUUUUAUUAGAACAAAACCAAUCGGCGGCGGGCGCGUUCGCGCGUCCGUUCGCCGCUCAACCUGGUGACUCUGAAUAACUUUCCGCUGAUCGCACGGUCUCGCACCGGCGACGCAUCUUUCAAAUGUCUGCCUUAUCAACUGUCGAUGGUAGGUUCUGCGCCUACCAUGGUCGUAACGGGUAACGGGGAAUCAGGGUUCGAUUCCGGAGAGGGAGCCUGAGAAACGGCUACCACAUCCAAGGAAGGCAGCAGGCGCGCAAAUUACCCACUCCCGGCACGGGGAGGUAGUGACGAAAAAUAACGAUACGGGACUCAUCCGAGGCCCCGUAAUCGGAAUGAGUACACUUUAAAUCCUUUAACGAGGACCAAUUGGAGGGCAAGUCUGGUGCCAGCAGCCGCGGUAAUUCCAGCUCCAAUAGUGUAUAUUAAAAUUGUUGCGGUUAAAAAGCUCGUAGUUGAUUCUGUGUCUCGCGCUGCCGGUUCACCGCCCGCGGUGUUAAACUGGAACGUCCGAAAGACGUCCUGCCGGUGGAACGUCGCGUGCUCUUCACCGAGUGUCGAGGUGGGCCGGCACGUUUACUUUGAACAAAUUAGAGUGCUCAAAGCAGGCUAAAACUUCGCCUGAAUACUGUGUGCAUGGAAUAAUGGAACAGGACCUCGGUUCUAUUUUGUUGGUUUUCGGAACCCCGAGGUAAUGAUUAAUAGGGACAGAUGGGGGCAUUCGUAUUGCGACGUUAGAGGUGAAAUUCUUGGAUCGUCGCAAGACGGACAGAAGCGAAAGCAUUUGCCAAAAAUGUUUUCAUUAAUCAAGAACGAAAGUCAGAGGUUCGAAGGCGAUCAGAUACCGCCCUAGUUCUGACCAUAAACGAUGCCAGCUAGCGAUCCGCCGACGUUCCUCCGAUGACUCGGCGGGCAGCUUCCGGGAAACCAAAGCUUUUGGGUUCCGGGGGAAGUAUGGUUGCAAAGCUGAAACUUAAAGGAAUUGACGGAAGGGCACCACCAGGAGUGGAGCCUGCGGCUUAAUUUGACUCAACACGGGCAAUCUCACCAGGCCCGGACACCGGAAGGAUUGACAGAUUGAGAGCUCUUUCUUGAUUCGGUGGGUGGUGGUGCAUGGCCGUUCUUAGUUGGUGGAGUGAUUUGUCUGGUUAAUUCCGAUAACGAACGAGACUCUAGCCUGCUAAAUAGGCGUUACUUUCCGGCAUCUCGAAGGCUCGCGUCUCCCGUCAGCCGGCGCGGGCGGGUAGCGUCGCGCGGCGCUCCGGCGUCCGCGCGCGCCCCGUCCGUCCGGUCGGGAGUUCGCGGUUUUUACUGCCGGCGUACACAUGAAUCUUCUUAGAGGGACAGGCGGCUCCUAGCCGCACGAGAUUGAGCAAUAACAGGUCUGUGAUGCCCUUAGAUGUUCUGGGCCGCACGCGCGCUACACUGAAGGAAUCAGCGUGUCCUCCCUGGCCGAGCGGUCCGGGUAACCCGCUGAACCUCCUUCGUGCUAGGGAUUGGGGCUUGCAAUUGUUCCCCAUGAACGAGGAAUUCCCAGUAAGCGCGAGUCAUAAGCUCGCGUUGAUUACGUCCCUGCCCUUUGUACACACCGCCCGUCGCUACUACCGAUUGAAUGAUUUAGUGAGGUCUUCGGACCGGUACGCGGCGAGGUUCCGACCCCGCCGAUGUCGCUGGGAAGAUGACCAAACUUGAUCAUUU